AUAGGACCUAAUUGCGUGGUUCCUUGUCCAUUCCCUGCAUACGGAUUCCUUUGUCAAAAGGAAUGUGAAUGUACUGAAUAUUACUGCAAUGUGACAACUGGAUGUCCUUUAGAUUGUACAAAGUUCAGAGACUGUUCAUUUUUUACAACAGGUAAGGCUAGUUCAUCUCCAAACGACUCAAGUAGAACAUACAUUUUUCGAUCACUGGGGCAGGAAACAGAGAUGGACAAGAAAGUUUUUGAAUCAGGAAAGGAUGGAUUUUAUUUGCCAUAUUAUGGAUUCAUCAUCAUGCUUGCUCUGAUACCAUUAAUUGGACUAUUACUAUUUCUUUUAAAACGACUUUGCAAUCAACUGAAAGAAAGAUCACCUGAUUACUUAGAUAUCCAGGUUCCAUUUUCGACAGAACAUUAUCAAGGAAUAACUAUUAUAAGCGGGUUACAAAACGAAGUAGAAAUGAAUGCAGAAAUAAAUCAAUAUGAUGACUUGUCCAAUCCACAGGCGAUGACCUAAACGCUUAAUUGUGAAAUAAGACUUUAAAUAGUGAGAGUCACAGUAAAUGUACAUGUAGAGCGAUUUUGUACUUUGCAGAUUUUCUGUUUUAAAUCUUCAAGAAGAUUAUGAAAAUUAAGCUAGUCCAAUAAAGUUCUACGAAAACUUAAAAAAUGGAAAAUACUUCUGGGUACUGUGGAACUAUUGAAACACGUACAUGUACUUGUAAAAUCACUGAAUUAUUAAAACAAUUAUUUUU